GUACCUCNGUAACGGCGAGUGAAGCGGUAACAGCUCAAAUUUGAAAUCUGGCCUCACGGUCCGAGUUGUAAUUUGUAGAGGAUGCUUCGAGCAUGGUCUGGCCUAAGUUCCUUGGAACAGGACGUCAUAGAGGGUGAGAAUCCCGUAUGCGGUCAGGUGCCUACGCUCAUGUGAAGCUCCUUCGACGAGUCGAGUUGUUUGGGAAUGCAGCUCAAAAUGGGUGGUAAAUUUCAUCUAAAGCUAAAUAUUGGCCAGAGACCGAUAGCGCACAAGUAGAGUGAUCGAAAGAUGAAAAGCACUUUGGAAAGAGAGUUAAACAGUACGUGAAAUUGUUGAAAGGGAAGCGCUUGCAACCAGACUUGCGCGCGGCCGAUCAUCCGGUGUUCUCACCGGUGCACUCGGCCGUGCUCAGGCCAGCAUCGGUUUUGGCGGCUGGAUAAAGGCCCUAGGAAUGUAGCUCCUCUCGGGGAGUGUUAUAGCCUAGGGUGCAAUGCAGCCUGCUGGGACCGAGGACCGCGCUUCGGCUAGGAUGCUGGCGUAAUGGUUGUAAGCGGCCCGUCUUGAAACACGGACCAAGGAGUCUAACAUCUAUGCGAGUGUUUGGGUGUCAAACCCAUACGCGUAAUGAAAGUGAACGGAGGUGAGAACCCUUAAGGGUGCAUCAUCGACCGAUCCUGAUGUCUUCGGAAGGAUUUGAGUAAGAGCAUAGCUGUUGGGACCCGAAAGAUGGUGAACUAUGCCUGAAUAGGGUGAAGCCAGAGGAAACUCUGGUGGANGCUCGCAGCGGUUCUGACGUGCAAAUCGAUCGUCAAAUUUGGGUAUAGGGGCGAAAGACUAAUCGAACCAUCUAGUAGCUGGUUCCUG
rnacentral:rRNA from 2 species